rnacentral:lncRNA from 1 species
CGCAUGUCCAUUCAAACAAGGGUUCCAGGACGGCAGUCAGCAUAUAAUCAAACUGCACCCAAAUGCUGUGGUCGCGCGUGUGGUCGUGGAAGAGGGAGGGAACAACCCGAGCGCACGCACGCGUACGGACCCCGGCGUGCCGCCGCCAGCUACGCACCUCCUCUGCAAGCCAAUCCAGCAGCGCCGCCACCGCAGCGUCCAGGUCAGCCUCGCUGCGCUGGGGGCCUGACAGCAGCACCGCCGUGAGGCUCCGUGCGCUGUUCAGCACUGUCCGCCGCCCAGACCUCUCGCCCAGCUUGCGCUCCAGGGACUGUUUACCAACGUGCAGGGGGACUUAGUGGAGAUCCUCCUGUCCGGCUAAAACCUCUCGCCCAGCUUGCGCUCCAGGUAGCCGGACAGGAGGAUCUCCACUAAGUCCCCCUGCACGUUGGUAAACAGCUAAUUAUGGCAGAAGCGGAGGAGCCGCCGCUGCCGAGGUUGCGCAUACAUGCAGCGGCUGCGGCUGCGGCGCCGAACCCACCGAUGAUGCGGUGUGAGCCCAACGCACUGGCAGCCGCUUCAGUAGCUCACUGCGUGCCGCCUCCAGCUUCUGCAGCUGCACCGCAUCCGUGACAGCAAGGAAGCCGAGCAGAGGUGAAUGCAGUCAAGUUUUGCUCAGGAAGGAGCUGCACACGGGGCAAGGGCCAGCAAGCAGGUAGCAUGCGUAGUUACGCCCGGUUGCCAUGCGCACAUAGCUGGCCCGGCGACAAACUGCAAACCAUACCCAUCAUGCAUGCAUUGAGCAACCUGAUACCUACGCCCAUUGGCACAUUGGUGCAGGGCAGCAGGCAGGCAGACCUAACCUGCUGUAUGCACCUGAGCCAGCCCGCCCUCCACCUGCUCCCGCCCGGCCCGCUUGAGCAGGGCGAUCUGCUGCUGUAUCUCCGCGACCAGUACCGCCAGGAAGCCGCGAUCCUGCGAGCAAGCAUCAUGGUUAAGUCGCGCAUGUCCAUUCAAACAAGGGUUCAAGGAAGGCAGUCAGCAUAUAAUCAAACUGCACCCAAAUGCUGUGGUCGCGCAUGUGGUUGUGGAGGCGGGAGGGAACAACUCGAGCGCACGCACGCGUACGUACGGACCCUGGCGUGCCGCCGCCAGCUACGCACCUCCUCUGCAAACCAAUCCAGCAGCGUCCAGGUCAGCCUCGCUGCGCUGGGGGCCUGGCAGCAGCGCCGCCGCGAGGCUCCGUGCGCUGUCCAGCACUGCCCGCCGCCCUCUCGCCCAGCUUGCGGCCUAGGUAGCCGGACAGGAGGAUCUUCAGGUCUCCCUGCACUUUAGUGAACCGUCCCUGCGCCUGCAGCACGCUUUUGAACUUUGCGUCCAGCUUGGCGUUCUGCUCGCUGAACAUGGCGUCCAACAUAGUGCUGAACAUGGCGUCCAACAUAGUGUUCUGCUCGCUGAACUUGGCGUCCAGCUCGGUUUUCUGCUCGCUGAACUUGGCAUCCAGCUUUGUGUUCUGCUCGCUGAACUUGGCGUCCAGCUUGGCAUUCUGCUCGCUGAACUUGGCGUCCAGCUUUGUGUUCUGCUCGCUGAACUUGGCGUCCAGCUUGGCGUUCUGCUCGCUGAACUUGGCGUCCAGCUUUGUGUUCUGCUCGCUGAACUUGGC